rnacentral:rRNA from 1 species
AGCGAACGCUGUCGGCAGGCCUAACACAUGCAAGUCGAACGAACUCUUCGGAGCUAGUGGCGGACGGGUGAGUAACACGUGGGAACGUGCCUUUAGGUUCGGAAUAACUCAGGGAAACUUGUGCUAAUACCGAAUGUGCCCUUCGGGGGAAAGAUUUAUCGCCUUUAGAGCGGCCCGCGUCUGAUUAGCUAGUUGGUGAGGUAAAGGCUCACCAAGGCGACGAUCAGUAGCUGGUCUGAGAGGAUGAUCAGCCACAUUGGGACUGAGACACGGCCCAAACUCCUACGGGAGGCAGCAGUGGGGAAUCUUGCGCAAUGGGCGAAAGCCUGACGCAGCCAUGCCGCGUGAAUGAUGAAGGUCUUAGGAUUGUAAAAUUCUUUCACCGGGGACGAUAAUGACGGUACCCGGAGAAGAAGCCCCGGCUAACUUCGUGCCAGCCGCCGCGGUAA